rnacentral:sRNA from 1 species
GCCGGGCGUGGUGGCGUGCGCCUGUAGUCCCAGCUGCUUGGGAGGCUGAGGCAGGAGAAUCGCUUGAAUGCGGGAGGCAGAGGUUGCAGUGAGCCGAGAUCGUGCCACUGCACUCCAGCCUGGGUGACAAAGCGAGACUCUGUCUCAA